UUUGCCUUUUAGGAGACUCAAGUCACAUUUGAAGUUUCUAGUAUUUAAUGAAAACUGCUGGAAUAGGCUUCCUAAAUGCUUACAAACGAGUUAUUUAUUUAAGCUAUUUUAGUAUAUCUGUUGGGUAAAGAGAUGUGUUGAUCAUCGAAUAUUGCCAAAGCAAAUGUGCUGCGCUUGCCUUUGCUCGUCAAAUUAUUUACUGAUAAUUUGGCUGUUUUUUUUUUGUUUUUUAUACCAGCACCUCAUAAUUUGCAAGGCCAGUGUGACAUCCUCCAGAGCUGUAGCGGCCAGCAUUGAUGGGACAAAAGUUCUCCCAAACUCUCCUGAUUGCUUUGCUUGCUCCUUUCAUGACUGACCAAAGAACUCCAAAGCCUGAGCUGGUACAAACCUCCCACCAAAGGAAAACCAGGACAGCUGGAGUGUAUUCCAGCGAGCACUGGAGACACUGCAGGAGCAAUACUUGGGCAGGAAGCCAUCCCUUCGCAAGAUGAACACACACAUCAAAGGCCACUUGGUCAGCAUCAGUUCACCUAGCCAGCAUAUCUGUGGGAGGACACCAGAGUACCUGGAGGAAACCCACAUGGACAUGGAGAGAACAUGCAAAAUCUGUGUGGAAUUAAACCUGAGUCUCAUUUUUGUGAGACAGCAACAGUACUACUGAACCACCACAAAUAUCAUGAUGAAUAUCUUAAUAUCCUUUAACUGUUGUAUUCUGAAUGUAAUGCAUUACAGGUUCAGUCCAUGUGGAGACAGCAAACAGUAAUUUGGAUUGUAUUAACUGUGCCCCUCUUAUUUGUUUGAGGAUUCUAAUUUAUAUUGUGGCGGAUGGCUGGGGAUCCUGCCCAGCCGGGACGCCUGGAAGGACCAGGAGGGGGACAAUACCUCCCCUGGGCCACGAGAGGGCAGCCGUCCUGGACUGCAUGGGGGCCAUGGGACCAGAGAAUAGAAGCUCAACCCUGUUGGGGCCUGUGGCCACCGCCAGGGGGUGCCCAGAUGAUCACAGAGCCUUGGAAUGCAGCACUUCCACCACACUUGGAAGUACUACCAAAGAGGAUUCCAGGCAUGCCCAGUGUGCUUCUGGGUGGUCAUGCGGCACUUCUGCCACAACAGGAACUUCCGCCACAAGGUAAUUACGGCCCACCUGAAGCACAUUCAGGGCAUGAUAAAAGGGGCUGCCUCACUCUUGGUUUUAGUAUUUCAUAGUCUCCACCGCUUAUCAGUUCAGUGUUGUAUUUAAUGUCAUCUUAUUUCUGUGUAUUUUAAUAUUAUUUAGUGUUAUGUCUAACAUCUGAAGUCUCAGUCUUGACUUGGCCACUACCCUUCCUAUCCAUAAACAUUCCCUGAUUAGCCUGCCUUCACAUUGCCUCACAUCCCUACCUGAUUCAAAUGCAGUUCUUUCAGGUUUUACAGAUCCUAUCUGUUUCUAAAAGCAUAUGAUUACCCCUUAACAUGUGGCACCCUAUUCUACACCAGAGUUUGAGGCACAUUAUAUUUUCUAGCCUCCUCAUUCUGACCUGGACUGACUAGUGGUACUGGAAAAACGUCUGACAAGCUCUCCAUACCAGGAAAGGUAUAUCAAUAUAAAGAAUUAUUAUUAUCUGACUACUAAGCUUUUCAAACAGACAGCUUUUUAAAACUGCCCUUUUGAACAGACUGCCUACCAUUACUAAGUAUUCCUUCUUCAAGUGGAUGGAAUCUCAUUCGUGAACAACUUUUUUGGCAUGAAAAUCCUGAUGAGGCCACAAAGACCUGGCAGAGUCACUAUCAGAAUGUUGGAGCCAUCCUGAGAAGCAGUACAGAGAGUGUGCGUGUGUGUGAGAGAGAGUUAGAUCUGUUCCUCUGCUUAAAUCCACUGGACUGAGUACUUGAUUACUGGCAAGACUUGGGAAGGAUUCUGGCUUAGAUCCACUGACAGAGCUGGGAAACUGAGUGCAGAUGGGGUGUUGCCUCUGAUUCCAAGUGGGUGGCGUGAGGCACAGCUGGCAGCGUGAAUAUGCAGGCAGGAGACAUGGCAGAGAAAAGAUCAUUACAGCAGCACAGAUUCUGCUGCGGAAGAUGAGAGCAGCAGCAGCAAUGCCAGAGAGUGGCCAAGGAAGGAGAUUACCUUCACAAAAUAUCACAUGAGGGAGAGCAAGGGAGAGACAUUACAUUUCACAAUGUAUAAGGGAGCCAGCAACAGUGAUGAUACAAUUUAAGCUAAAUAAUAUCAUAAAAAAAAUCUUUUAAGAUAUUGCAAUAACAGUAUAACCACCAAAGCACAGUAUUUAAAGAUGUUUUAUGAUCAACAUCAACUACUCAACACCAAAAACAGAAACACAAAUGAAAAAUAAUAAAUUGCCCAUUUUUGUUCACUGGGCAAAGUGCUAAAUUGAAAUGAUGAUGACUGCUCCAAAACAGUGAGAUGUGUAAGUUCAUGCAUACUUAAAAAAAUCCACCAAUGGCUCACUUAAAAAGACUCUAGUCUUCAAGUCCUAAGGCAGACUGAAAAGUUCAAGCUACACACAUGCACACCUGGGGAAACGUAUGCCAAAAACACUGCAUUCUCUAACAACAGCCUGCCUAAAAAAAGAAGUAUUUUUUCUAGA